rnacentral:rRNA from 1 species
UAACAGAGGUCUCAAGCGUUGUUCGGAUUCAUUGGGCGUAAAGGGUGUGUAGGUGGCGCCGUAAGUCGGGUGUGAAAUUUUCGGAGCUUAACUCCGAAACUGCAUUCGAUACUGCGGUGCUUGAGGACUGGAGAGGAGGACUGGAAUUCCAAGGUGUAGCGGUGAAAUGCGUAGAUAUCUGGAGGAACACCGGUGGCGAAGGCGGCAUCCUGGACCGGUAUUGACGCUGAGGCGCGGAAAGCCAGGGGAGCAAAGCAGGG